AUAGCUUUCAACAAUGGAUCUCUUGGCUCUCGCAUCGAUGAAGAACGUAGCGAAAUGCGAUAAGUAAUGUGAAUUGCAGAAUUCAGUGAAUCAUCGAAUCUUUGAACGCACUUUGCGCUCCUUGGUAUUCCGAGGAGCAUGCCUGUUUGAGUGUCGUUAA
rnacentral:rRNA from 1 species